rnacentral:lncRNA from 10 species
GACUCCUGGAACAUGAGAUGCAGAAGUUCUUGAAGAAAAGCCAAGACUUAGAGAAGAGAUGUGGACACACCGUGAGCUAGGAACAAAUGUCUCUUGAUUUUUCCCUAAAAUUCAGGUCACUUGGAUAUCCCCCUCUUAUCCAUCCCUCUAAGGCCAGAACAUUCCAGAGCAGGAAAGGACCCUCCAAAUCCUCCUUUCCAUGCCUCUGAGGGGAAAAAGCCAUAGGCAGGUGACCGUAACUCCUGCCUCCCAAGAUCUCCCUGCCCUUGGGCUCCAAGAUGGUGGCUCUAUCUUCAUCUGCCUGCCUCAAACCCUGCCCUUCUUUCCCUCCAACCUAGGAUCCUAGGCAUCCCCCCAAGUCUUCCAGGUCUGAGGCCUCCUGGAGCCAUCUUCUCAAGCGUUUCUAUCCUGACACCCCUCAGCCCACAGCUGUGACCUCAAAGGGGACCCUAGUCAUUCUUCCUGUGCAUGUUUCACAAAUGUGCAAGCUUUGCACUUAGCCUUCAUCACUCAGUAAGAAAUCUUCAAAGCCACAGGCCACGUUUCUGUACCCUUUGCCUUCACCGCUCAGCUAAACUCUAACCCAGGCAAGGUCAAGAAACACCUGCUGAUCUGUUCAGAGCAGAAGGAGUAGCUGGAAACACUGACCAGUUGAUCAGCCUGGAGCAACCAGAUACAGAAACUGAGGCCCAGACCCAGAGAGAAGACAAAGCCAGAGCCAAUAAUAGAUAACCAUUACCAGACAUAUGAAUAUACUGUUUGUCAGUUGCGAAAUAGCUCUAUGGAGAUGAAGUUUGAGAUGAAUGGUGGAAACACAGAAGGUAAAAUAGAUGACAAAGAUAAUGAACAAAUGGGUAAAUAGUUCUUAUUGUUAGGAAGAACAUAUAACUAAUAGAAAAUCGGAAAUAUAAAUUAGCCAGUUUUGGGGAGGCAGUUUAAUGAGAGCAGACAGAAGUAUAUGGCUAGAUGUAAAACAGCUACGGGGUGGGACAGAUUAGAGAGCUCUGGAGACAGAUACAGAUAUUAACAGUAGAAAUGCAUGGCAGGGGGGCUGUUGGGGGUGACUGAUGCUUGACAAAUAGCUGAUAGCUGGAAAUGACAGGUAAGCUUGCCUGGUAAGUACCAAGAGGCGGAUAGAGAAGUAGCUAAUUAUAUAGCCUGGCUCCGUAUGAUAAGUUAUGAGGGCAACAGAAAGGCAAUGUUGAUGACGGAAACUGCAUAAGGGAGGAAGAACGCUGGACUAAGAGGACACACAGGUUUGGAUCUUCUUAUGCUACUAAUCUGACAUACUACCUUAAAGGGAAGGGACUAGGGAUGGGGAUUAAUAUUAUUUGAGCUCAUAUGAGGUACCUUUAAUCAUUAAACAACUAUUUUCUCAAUGAGGAAACCAGAGCUCAGAGAGGUUAAGUGACUUGCCCAGGGUUACACAGUAAGUUAGCAGGGAGGCAGGUAUUUAAAAUCGUGUUUGCCCA